CACGGGGGGAGCAAGCGUUGUUCGGAAUCACUGGGCGUAAAGGGCGUGUAGGCGGUCAAGUAAGUGGAAUGUGAAAGCCCCGGGCUCAACCCGGGAAGUGCACUCGAUACUGCAGGGCUUGAGUGUCGGAGAGGUUGGUGGAAUUCUCGGUGUAAAGGUGAAAUUCGUAGAUAUCGAGAGGAACACCGGCGGCGAAGGCGGCCAACUGGACGACUACUGACGCUGAGACACGAAAGCGUGGGGAGCAAACAGG
rnacentral:rRNA from 1 species